rnacentral:rRNA from 1 species
GACGAACGCUGGCGGCGUGCUUAACACAUGCGAGUUGAACGCUGAAGCUUGGUGCUUGCACUGGGUGGAUGAGUGGCGAACGGGUGAGUAAUACGUGAGUAACCUGCCCUUGACUCUGGGAUAAGCCUGGGAAACUGGGUCUAAUACUGGAUACGACAUGUCACCGCAUGGUGGUGUGUGGAAAGGGUUUUACUGGUUUUGGAUGGGCUCACGGCCUAUCAGCUUGUUGGUGGGGUAAUGGCUCACCAAGGCGACGACGGGUAGCCGGCCUGAGAGGGUGACCGGCCACACUGGGACUGAGACACGGCCCAGACUCCUACGGGAGGCAGCAGUGGGGAAUAUUGCACAAUGGGCGGAAGCCUGAUGCAGCGACGCCGCGUGAGGGAUGACGGCCUUCGGGUUGUAAACCUCUUUCAGCACGGAAGAAGCGAAAGUGACGGUACGUGCAGAAGAAGCGCCGGCUAACUACGUG